rnacentral:rRNA from 1 species
UACAGAGGCCCCAAGCGUUACUGAGAAUCACUGGGUUUAAAGGGUGCGUAGGUGGCGCGUUAAGUCCGUUGUGAAAUCCCUUGGCUCAACCAAGGAAUGGCUUCGGAUACUGGCGCGCUUGAGGCCGGUAGGGGUCACUGGAACUGACGGUGGAGCGGUGAAAUGCGUAGAUAUCGUCAGGAACGCCAAUGGUGAAGACAGGUGACUGGGCCGGUUCUGACACUGAGGCACGAAAGCGUGGGGAGCGAACGGGAUUAGAUACCCCGGUAGUCCACGCCCUAAACGAUGCAGACUAGACUGCAGCGGGUUACACCCCGUUGCGGUCGGAGCGAAAUUGUUAAGUCUGCCACCUGGGAAGUACGGUCGCAAGGCUAAAACUCAAAGGAAUUGACGGGGGCUCACACAAGCGGUGGAGCAUGUGGCUCAAUUCGAAGCAACGCGAAGAACCUUAUCCUGGAUUUGACAUGGUGGAAGUACGAAGCGGAAACGUCUAGGACCGGUAUCCAAUCCGGAACCAUCACAGGUGCUGCAUGGCUGUCGUCAGCUCGUGCUGUGAAGUGUCGGGUUAAGUCCCAUAACGAGCGAAACCCUUAUCGUUAGUUGCCAUCAGGUUAAGCUGGGCACUCUAACGAGACUGCCGGUGUUAAACCGGAGGAAGGCGGGGAUGACGUCAAGUCCUCAUGGCCUUUAUAUCCAGGGCUGCACACGUGCUACAAUGCCGAUGACAAACCGAAGCAAGACCGUAAGGUGGAGCAAAUCGGAGAAAAAUCGGCCCAGUUCAGAUUGAGGGCUGCAACUCGCCCUCAUGAAGUUGGAAUCGCUAGUAAUCGCGGAUCAGCUACGCCGCGGUGAAUGUGUUCCUGAGCCUUGUACACACCGCCCGUCAAGUCAUGGAAGCUGGUAAUGCCUGAAACGCCCCCAAAGGCGCUACGGCAGGACCGGUGACUGGGACU